UUUUGUUUUGUCUUUCUGAUGGGUGGAGCGGAAAGCCAGUGACAGCACGGUGGUCUGCAUCUGCCAUUUUCCGGUGGUUAAGAGAAAUGGCCUUGUACUUACCAGAAACAGUACAGUAGCUCAUCCACCAUGGCAGAAGAGGAAGAUCCAGAACGUUGAUUGGGAAACAAGAACAAACAAUGAGGCAUGAGGAUUGGGUGUUGAGGGACCACUUGUCACAUUGUCCAAGUCCAACAGGAGUGCAUCCCUCAGGCUAUCCGGUGGAUGAACAUCCUUUGCCAGUGGGAUCCGAGGGUGAUCGUCCAGUUGUGGAGACUACAGCACAUCGAGCCUGUGGAUGGACAGGUACAUGCAGGGAUGACUGGGGCCUUCAGCAAGUAAGACACGGGGGACACUUUACCUUCACCACUGCUGUGGUGCUGCUACGGUGAGGCACCCAGGAUCCCAGACCCUAUGACCCAAAGCCCUGACUCCUGCACAUACUUCCCUGUAGCCAUUUUGAAUACCUUGAUGCCCUCCUCUUCGUUAUCUGUGCCCCACUUUACAGACAACACCCCAUCCAACGGCUGUGAUCUGAGGAGCCUUUUAAGCAGUGAACGAGUAGCGCGCUUGCCCCUAACCACUCCUCCAUAAUUGGUGCCGUCAACCUCCCUCUCCUCAUGGUGUGCCAGUUGGGUUUGGUACGCUGUCCAACUUGUGCCUACCCUAUAGCCUCCUGCUGCUCCACUGACAGUGCCAUGCCAGCCAGGAUGCCUGUAUGCCCCAGGUGCCCUUGUUUUUUUUUAACAAUGUCCGAUGUCAUCCCUGCCUGUAUCGGUUGUUCUGGCUCAGGUUCAAGGAGACCUGCCAUUCCACUGAACCUGCCACAGAGAAGGUGCUUUAGCCACUGAAGAUCCUCCUCUGUUGGCUCUCAGGACAGAGGGUUGAAGUCUUCGGCUGGGUACAGGUCCUCCACUGACUGCACCUGGUUGGGCACGGCUGGCUUCCUCCACUCACAUUCCACAUCCGUAUGGCCGAAAUUGUGAACUGCCAAAAUAGGCUGCAUGGCUACACUUAUGAGCACCACGGAGGCAUUUCCAUGUGGUAUAGAGAAUCCCCUGGUUACCUAAAGAGACCUGCCAAGAGGAAGGAUGUUAAGUGACACAUCUUUCAAUUCAUGACUUUGAACACCUUGAAAUGCAUUUGUUGAAAGAAAUGUGCUAUAUUGAUGACUGACAUUACUGCUAUAGAGGACACGUGCAGUUUUUCAAUAAACUUAAUUGAUAACUUGG